GAGUAACACGUGGAUAACCUGCCCUAUGAUCUGGGAUAACAUUUCGAAAGGGAUGCUAAUACCGGAUAAGCCCACACAACCUUCGGGGCGAGUGGGAAAAGAUUUAUCGUCAUAGGAUGGGUCCGCGGUCCAUUAGCUAGUUGGUGGGGUAACGGCCUACCAAGGCCACGAUGGAUAGCUGGUCUGAGAGGAUGAUCAGCCACACUGGAACUGAGACACGGUCCAG
rnacentral:rRNA from 1 species